AUUGAACGCUGGCGGCAUGCCUUACACAUGCAAGUCGAACGGUAACAGGUCUUCGGAUGCUGACGAGUGGCGAACGGGUGAGUAAUACAUCGGAACGUGCCUAGUAGUGGGGGAUAACUACUCGAAAGAGGGGCUAAUACCGCAUGAGAUCUACGGAUGAAAGCAGGGGAUCGCAAGACCUUGUGCUACUAGAGCGGCCGAUGGCAGAUUAGGUAGUGGGUGGGAUAAAAGCUUACCAAGCCGACGAUCUGUAGCUGGUCUGAGAGGACGAUCAGCCACACUGGGACUGAGACACGGCCCAGACUCCUACGGGAGGCAGCGGUGGGGAAUUUUGGACAAUGGGCGAAAGCCUGAUCCAGCAAUGCCGCGUGCAGGAUGAAGGCCUUCGGGUUGUAAACUGCUUUUGUACGGAACGAAAAGCCCCGGGUUAAUACCCUGGGGUCAUGACGGUACCGUAAGAAUAAGCACCGGCUAACUACGUGCCAGCCGCCGCCGUAA
rnacentral:rRNA from 1 species